GCGCCUCACAGGCGGAAGCGCGCGUGGCGGCCGAGCCGGUGAGGGAGCGAGGGCGGGAACGGACGGGACGGGACCGGCUGAGCUGGGCGGUCCCUUUUGGCUUGUUACAAAGGCCAGCCAUGGAGAAGUGGAGCUUAAUGACAAUUACUGUGUUACUGGCACUUACUGUGCGCUGGGCUGUGUCACUGGGCUCCUACUCAGGUGCAGGAAAACCACCUAUGUAUGGAGACUAUGAAGCUCAGAGGCACUGGCAAGAAAUUACUUACAAUUUACCCAUCAGGCAGUGGUACUUCAACACAAGCGAUAACAACCUCCUGUACUGGGGCCUUGAUUAUCCACCUCUCACAGCCUAUCACAGUUUUGUGUGUGCUUACAUUGCCAAGUUAAUAAAUCCUGACUGGGUUGCCCUGCACAGCUCCCGGGGCUACGAGAGUCAGCCACACAAGCUGUUUAUGCGGACAACAGUGUUUGUUGCUGAUUUGCUGGUUUAUAUUCCUGCAGUUAUUUUAUAUUGUUCUUCCUUGAAAGAAACAUCUGCUAAAAAGAAGGUUUCCAGUGCUCUCUGUAUCCUACUUUAUCCAGGCCUCAUUCUUAUUGACCAUGGACACUUCCAAUACAACUCAGUGAGCCUCGGCUUUGCCUUGUGGGGUGUCCUUUGUUUGUCCCAUGACUGGGACCUCCUGGGCUCGGUGGCCUUUUGCUUGGCCUUAAACUACAAGCAAAUGGAGCUCUACCAUUCCCUGCCCUUUUUUUGCUAUUUACUGGGGAAGUGCUUCAAGAAGGGACUGAAAGGAAAGGGGUUGGUGCUGUUGACCAAACUGGCAGGGACAGUGGUGCUGUCCUUCGCUGCCUGCUGGCUCCCGUUCGGCACCGACGUGGAACAAAUCAUGCAAGUACUCAGAAGACUCUUUCCCAUUGACAGAGGCUUGUUUGAGGAUAAAGUAGCCAAUAUUUGGUGCAGUCUAAGUGUCCUUAUAAAGAUAAAGAAUGUAGUAUCACCUCAAACUCAGCUCAAACUCAGUUUUGCUGUGACAUUCCUGAGCCUGCUUCCUGCCUGUAUCAAACUCACUGUCCAGCCUUCCCUCAGAGGGUUUAAAUUUGCUUUGGUUAGUUGUGCCCUGUCAUUUUUCCUGUUCUCCUUUCAAGUCCACGAAAAAUCCAUUCUUCUGGUGGCAGUCCCAGUUUGCUUAAUCAUAAAUGAAAUCCCCUUUAUGGCCACGUGGUUUUUACUCGUAUCAACUUUCAGCAUGUUGCCUCUCCUGCUGAGGGACGGGCUGCUCCUGCCCUAUGCCGUGACCACACCGGCAUUCCUGGCCACCUGCCUGGCCUCCUUCUCCAUCCUGGACAAGACCUCAGCAGAGGACCUGCAGCUCAAAGCAUUCUCCCUUUCCCUGAAGGGUUAUGUGUCUUGGUUUAAGUCCUUUCCCAGGAUUGUCAGGAUUCUGUUCCUCCUUUCCCUGUCCCUGAUGGGUGUGCUGUCUCUCCUGAGUGCCGCAGUGCCUCCUCCCCAGAGCCUCCCGGAUUUAUUCCCCAUAUCCGUGUCCAUUGUUUCCUGCUUACACUUCUUAUUAUUUCUGGUGUAUUUUAAUGUUGUGAUACUCUGGGACUCCAAGAAUAGCAAAAGCCAGAAGAAAAUCAGUUAAUCUACCUGUGGAGCUCCAGGACUGAACUGUGCAGGACAGAGUGUGUUUGGUGAGUGCUGUCAGCGCUGCAGGGGAACCUGUUUGGGAUGGACACGACUACUGGAACCCAGGGAAAGUCAGGAAACACGUUUGGCCUAUUCAAACACAAAACAAUCAAAGACUGUUUCAAAGGAGAAGUCUGUUGAAGAGCAUUGGAAAUAUGAUUUGGACUGAAAAGCCAAACCCUCUUGCUUCUCCUGCAGUAAAAGCUGAGGUGCUGCAGUGCAGUUGGAAACCAGGUAUGAGGGGGGAAAAAAAAACCCCAAACCCACAACAACCCCCCUCCUUGCACAGCAAUUUGCAGACGUAAACUGAACUCAACUCU